UUCAAAAUCCUCCCCAAAAAACCUUCGAGAACGUUCCGUCCGCCAUGGACAUCUACUCCACGCCCUCCCCUCCUUCCUCAAGUCGGUCGAGCUCCGCCUCCACCGACCCCGCCCACCUCUCCACCACAGCCUCGCUCCCUCCGCCCGCACGCUGAUACCACCUAGAAGGGUCGCUUCGCGGAACCGCCCUGUUUCAGGACGAGGUCGAUCGGGCCGUGGACGCCAGCGUUUGCCACGCCGGCUCGGCUGCCUGGAUCCAGGUGGUCGACGCUGAUGUGCCUUGCGUUGCUGCAUUUCUCGCCUUCGUGCAGCAGACUGUUAACGAGCCUAUUCGAAAAUUUCUUCCGUUUCCUCUACGAUUUCCUCAGACGGAGGGGCGUAAUGAUGGCGGAGGCGAGUGGGACGCGAGAGCACGAAACCAAUUGAUUUCCAUGGCUCUGAUGUGUUUGGAAAUAUUUUCUCUGAGGACUUGUUACAUGACAUGCAUGGCUUGUCUAGCAAGUUGGAUACACAUGACCUCAUUUAACCUUCUGAAUUAUGUGAUCAUUCGCGUUCAGCAGCCGUGCCAUCAUCAGAGUUAAAAGAAAGGGAAAAAAAAAUAGAGAGAGAGAGAGGCUAAAGCAUUGUCAUUUCGCUUCCAAUGAUCAAAGAAAUAUUCCUGACAAAUAAUCAUCCACAUGAUUGGCACUCGGGCCCUCGCUGACACCGCGUAAGCAAUUAUGAUACAUUUUCCUUUCUCAGAAAGCAAGAUCCCCCAAAAAAAAAGGGGAGGAAAGUUGCAGUCCUGCACAGUCACAAGUCAAAUCGUUCAGAAAGGAAGCAGAACCACUCUCAAAAAACAGAUUCCAUGCCCAAAUUGCUUAUGGCUGCCUUGCAAGAAGUUAAGUACGGUACAGCUGAGGCUUGUCUGGCUAUUCACUCUGAUCUGUGAAACAUUUGCAUGGUACGCAGCAAAACUCCAAACUAUAUAAUAUAUACACACUACGCCCAUCACAUAAAGCUGUGUUUUCCCAAGUUAUUCCUCAGUUUUUAUCGAUCCUUAUUCCCUGUCUUCUAGCAAGUCCAGAUCUUACAGAUUGAUUGCAGAAAAAGGCACAAGCAUUCUUUCUCCGAACACAGAAGCCUGCUAAAGAAGCGGAAUAUUAUGAUGUCAAGGAAGGCAUGUCCUAGUGGGGAACAACACAUGGGAUGAGAGGAGCAACAUGAUCUCGAGAUCGAUGCAGAGGAGGGAAGCCGGUCCUCUUUUUAUGAGACUACGAGACGGAAGAUAAAGAAAGUUACAGCGAGGGCGAGCAGUACUUGCACAGUGCGGCCAGACAAGUUCCGACCUUUCGUUUUCUUUUCGGGAUUGAAAAUCCCGACGAAACUGUUAAGAAGAUUCAGAGCGAGCAGCCUAGCGCCGGAAUCGUACCUGGAGACCUCCUCCCAGAGGGGGCCCUUGAAUGUGGCUUCCCGGAAGGCGGCGUCCAUCUCGGAGCGGAUCUUGAGCAGCGCCAGCGUCUCCUGCCGCGGCCAGCGGUUGCCGGGCGCGCCGCCGGCGAGCGCCUCCUCGUCGAUUGCGUACCCAGCCGCGUCAAAGUUCACCAUGCCCGAGUCCGGCGCGCGACUGCUGAUCGGAGAGACCGCCUCUGCCGGCGGCGGCAGGCAGCUCGGGAAUGGAGCCAAGGUAGGGAAUUGCGGUGCUCCGUCCGCCGCCGCCGCAGCCCGCGGCGGCCCCGGCGGUGCCUGCUGCUGCAUGGACUUCCCCGCGCUCACUGAACUACAAUUUCGCUAAUUUGGAGAGCUCAGCGACGUAAAAGCUUCUGAAAUCAGUACAGCAAGCAAA